rnacentral:rRNA from 1 species
GAUGAACGCUGGCGGCGUGCCUCAAACAUGCAAGUCGAGCGGGGCUAUGUAAUAUCGCAAGGUAGAACAUAGCCUAGCGGCGAACGGGUGAGUAACACGUGGGUAACCUGCCUGGAAGACAGGGAUAACGAUUCGAAAGGGUCGCUAAUACCUGAUAAUAUCCUUUCAUCGCAUGGUGAUAGGAAGAAAGGGGAAACCCGCUUUCAGAUGGGCCCGCGUCCCAUCAGCUAGUUGGUAAGGUAAAGGCUUACCAAGGCGACGACGGGUAGCCGGUCUGAGAGGAUGUACGGCCACACUGGGACUGAGAUACGGCCCAGACUCCUACGGGAGGCAGCAGUUGGGAAUCUUAGGCAAUGGACGAAAGUCUGACCUAGCGACGCCGCGUGAGGGAAGAAGGCCUUCGGGUUGUAAACCUCUGUCAGUGGGGGAAGAAGUAAGUGACGGUACCCCAAGAGGAAGCCCCUGCUAACUACGUGCCAGCAGCCGACGGUAAAAGUCUCUAU